rnacentral:ncRNA from 1 species
UCUAACAUACAUAAUUUAUUAGAUUGAACAUAUGGUAGUUGAAAAUAAGUAUAGAUUCGGAGAUUUUCGAAUAAGGCAAUCUUUCGAACUGCUACUGAAUUCAUGGGCAGACAAGAGACAAUUUGGCGAAGUGAAAUAUCUUAGUAGUCAGAGGAAAAGAAAGAAAAAGUGAUUCUCGUAGUAGCGACGAGCGAAAUGGGAGCAGACUAAAUUGUAAAAACGGAGUUGUGAGAGAGCAAUUCCAGCGUUGUGCUGCUAGGCGAAGCAACCUGAAUGUUGCACCUUAGAUGGCGAAAGUCCAGUAGCCGAAGCCCGAAAGCAUCACUAGCUUACGCUCUGACCCGAAUAACAUGAUUAAGAGUAUUCGUUUUUGACAAACUUAAAUGAUUAAA